UCCUUGCUAUCUGGGUGCUAGU
rnacentral:miRNA from 1 species